GCCGGGCGCAGUGACGCGCCCCUGUAGCCCCAGCUACUCGGGAGGCUGAGGCAGGAGGAUGGCUUGAGCCCAGGAGUUCUGGGCUGUAGUGCACUAUGGCAAUCGGGUGUCCGCGCUAAGUUCGGCAUCAAUAUGGUGACCUCCCGGGAGCAGGGGACCACCAGGUUGCCUAAGGAGGGGUGAACCGGCCCAGGUUGGAACGGAGAAGGUCAAAAGUACUCUACUACUAAGACGAGUGUUAUCUUGCUAAAAUGAUAAUUAAAGGUUGUUUUACAAUCUUUACUGCACUU
rnacentral:SRP_RNA from 1 species